UACGUAGGGGGGCGAGCGUUGUCCGGAAUCAUUGGGCGUAAAGCGCGUGUAGGCGGCCCGGUAAGUCCGCUGUGAAAGUCCAGGGCUCAACCCUGGGAUGCCGGUGGAUACUGUCGGGCUUGAGACCGGGAGAGGUGAGUGGAAUUCCCAGUGUAGCGGUGAAAUGCGCAGAUAUCAGGAGGAACACCGGUGGCGAAGGCGGGUCUCUGGGCCGAUACUGACGUGGAGGAGCGAAAGCGUGGGGAGCAAACAGG
rnacentral:rRNA from 1 species